UCCAUAGGUUAAUGAGGCGAACCGGGGGAACUGAAACAUCUAAGUACCCCGAGGAAAAGAAAUCAACCGAGAUUCCCCCAGUAGCGGCGAGCGAACGGGGAGGAGCCCAGAGCCUGAAUCAGCAUGUGUGUUAGUGGAAGCGUCUGGAAAGGCGCGCGAUACAGGGUGACAGCCCCGUACACAAAAGCGCAUGUGCUGUGAGCUCGAUGAGUAGGGCGGGACACGUGGUAUCCUGUCUGAAUAUGGGGGGACCAUCCUCCAAGGCUAAAUACUCCUGACUGACCGAUAGUGAACCAGUACCGUGAGGGAAAGGCGAAAAGAACCCCGGCGAGGGGAGUGAAAAAGAACCUGAAACCGUGUACGUACAAGCAGUGGGAGCACCCUUUUGGGUGUGACUGCGUACCUUUUGUAUAAUGGGUCAGCGACUUAUAUUCUGUAGCAAGGUUAACCGAAUAGGGGAGCCGGAGGGAAACCGAGUCUUAAUUGGGCGUUAAGUUGCAGGGUAUAGACCCGAAACCCGGUGAUCUAGCCAUGGGCAGGUUGAAGGUUGGGUAACACUAACUGGAGGACCGAACCGACUAAUGUUGAAAAAUUAGCGGAUGACCUGUGGCUGGGGGUGAAAGGCCAAUCAAACCGGGAGAUAGCUGGUUCUCCCCGAAAGCUAUUUAGGUAGCGCCUCGUGAAUUCAUCUCCGGGGGUAGAGCACUGUUUCGGCUAGGGGGCCAUCCCGGCUUACCAACCCGAUGCAAACUGCGAAUACCGGAGAAUGUUAUCACGGGAGACACACGGCGGGUGCUAACGUCCGUCGUGAAGAGGGAAACAACCCAGACCGCCAGCUAAGGUCCCAAAGUCAUGGUUAAGUGGGAAACGAUGUGGGAAGGCCCAGACAGCCAGGAUGUUGGCUUAGAAGCAGCCAUCAUUUAAAGAAAGCGUAAUAGCUCACUGGUCGAGUCGGCCUGCGCGGAAGAUGUAACGGGGCUAAACCAUGCACCGAAGCUGCGGCAGCGAACGUAUCACUUAAAGCGAUUCAGCGGGUUACGAUUGACGGAGCGAAGCGACGUCAAAGCGUAUACAAAGUCGAGU
rnacentral:rRNA from 1 species